rnacentral:tRNA from 1 species
GGAUGGGUGGCCGAGUGGUCGAAGGCGACGGUCUUGAAAACCGUUGACGUUUAACAGCGUCCGGGGGUUCGAAUCCCUCCCCAUCCG